rnacentral:rRNA from 1 species
UGGGGAAUUUUGCGCAAUGGGCUAACGCCUGACGCAGCAACGCCGCGUGGAGGAUGAAGGUCUUUGGAUUGUAAACUCCUGUCAGCAGGGAAAAAGCGACUUAACCUAAUACGUUAGGGAGUUGAUUGUACCUGCAGAGGAAGCCCCGGCUAACUCUGUGCCAGCAGCCGCGGUAAUACAGAGGGGGCAAGCGUUAUUCGGAAUUAUUGGGCGUAAAGGGCGCGUAGGCGGCCUGGCAAGUGACGGGUGAAAUCCCUCGGCUUAACCGAGGAACUGCCUGUCAGACUGCUUGGCUUGAGACCGGGAGAGGUGAGUGGAAUUCCCAGUGUAGCGGUGAAAUGCGUAGAUAUUGGGAGGAACACCAGUGGCGAAGGCGGCUCACUGGACCGGUACUGACGCUGAGGCGCGAAAGCGUGGGGAGCAAACAGGAUUAGAUACCCUGGUAGUCCACGCCGUAAACGAUGAGUGCUUGGUGUAGCGGGUAUCGACCCCUGCUGUGCCGAAGUCAACACAUUAAGCACUCCGCCUGGGGAGUACGGUCGCAAGACUGA